GAGGGUGUAGCUCAGUGUUAGAGCACUUGCCUAUUAUGCACAAGUCUCUGGAUUCAAUUCCUAGCACUCCUG
rnacentral:tRNA from 1 species